GAUUUUACUGGAGAUCCUGAUGAUUUUAUUGAUGAAGAAGAGCAGCGAGAGAGGGAAUCAUUCCAACGCUUUUUGGAGAGACAUCGAGAGAAACAAAUUGAGAAAGUCAAAAGCCAAAACAACAGUUGAUGGUCUCUUCAUUGUUCUCCUAAAACAGUUUUACUGGAUUUUGUAUUAAAAAGCUUCAUUUGAUCAAAACGUAUUGCUAUACUUGUGGAAUAAAUGAGUUUAGCAACUGCAAAGUAGAGGCUUGAAGCUUUUAAUAUUUUUGUAAAUAAAAAUAUUCCAUUUUUUUCUA